GCAGCGAGCGGGCCCGCUGGCUGUGACGUAGAGGCAACCUACGGCGACGCGACUUGAUGGAGAGGCAGGAGGAGGCAAAUCCGCCCGACUGGCACCGGAUCCGGUCAGGGGCGGCGGCGGAGCUCCAUAGCGCGGUGCGGCUCCUCGGGCGGCCACGGGAGCUUGGGGCGGUUGUUUGGGCAGUGUGGUUGAGGUCAGGUCGGGGUCAAGCGGGCUCCAGCGAUGCUCCGUCAUUUCUGUGCAAAUGUUGCCUUCUCCCCCUUUCUUUUUUCCAUGACGGCCACGAGGGAUGUCUCAAGAACCAAAGCGCGGGUGAGGCCUUCAGAGCCGUCAUCUUCUUCUCGGGGCGACGGGCCCAGCCCCGGAGGCCGAUCCCAAUGAGAAGGCGCUGGGCUGCCAUCAACAAGUAAGUGUGCUAGCGCCAUUGCUUUUCCUUGCAUACCUUGUCUCGUCCGACGAAUCUGAUCAUCGAACUUUUCACA
rnacentral:lncRNA from 1 species